UUUAUUCUCCAUUUUCCUCUUUUGCCUCUCUCUCGUCCAUCUCUCUUCCUCAUUGUUUUCAGUCCAGAUCCCACCCAAAAUCAAGUAUUCUACCCAAAAUUGAAGCCCCUUUUCUUCUCUCACGUCUAUGCCCCCAACCACUCAUUCUGUUGUCUGCCGCCCACCACCAUCCAUCAUUGUUGCUCCGCACCGCCACUGCCAAUGUCGACCAAUCCUUU
rnacentral:lncRNA from 1 species